rnacentral:rRNA from 1 species
AUUAAAUGGCUGCAGUAUCUUGACUGUGCAAAGGUAGCAUAAUCAUUAGUCUUUUAAUUGAAGGCUGGUAUGAAUGGUUGGACGAAAUAUUAACUGUCUUAUGAGAAUUUAAAAUAAAAUUUUAUUUUUUAGUUAAAAAGCUAAAAUUUAAUUAAAAGACGAGAAGACCCUAUAAAUCUUUAUAUUUAAUAUAUUGUAAUUUUUUAGAAAAUUUUUGUUAUUAUAUAAAUAAUAUUUUAUUGGGGUGAUAUUAAAAUUUAAAAAACUUUUAAUUAAUAAAAUCAUUAAUUUAUGAAUAUUUGAUCUGUUAAUAGCAAUUAAUAAAAUAAGUUACUUUAGGGAUAACAGCGUAAUUUUUUUGGAAAGUUCUUAUUGAUAAAAAAGAUUGCGACCUCGAUGUUGGAUUAAGAUAUAAUUUUAGGUGUAGUCGCUUAAAUUUUGAGU